rnacentral:rRNA from 1 species
UAGGGAAGAACAAGUGCAAGAGUAACUGCUUGCACCUUGACGGUACCUAACCAGAAAGCCACGGCUAACUACGUGCCAGCAGCCGCGGUAAUACGUAGGUGGCAAGCGUUGUCCGGAAUUAUUGGGCGUAAAGGGCUCGCAGGCGGUUUCUUAAGUCUGAUGUGAAAGCCCCCGGCUCAACCGGGGAGGGUCAUUGGAAACUGGGAAACUUGAGUGCAGAAGAGGAGAGUGGAAUUCCACGUGUAGCGGUGAAAUGCGUAGAGAUGUGGAGGAACACCAGUGGCGAAGGCGACUCUCUGGUCUGUAACUGACGCUGAGGAGCGAAAGCGUGGGGAGCGAACAGGAUUAGAUACCCUGGUAGUCCACGCCGUAAACGAUGAGUGCUAAGUGUUAGGGGGUUUCCGCCCCUUAGUGCUGCAGCUAACGCAUUAAGCACUCCGCCUGGGGAGUACGGUCGCAAGACUGAAACUCAAAGGAAUUGACGGGGGCCCGCACAAGCGGUGGAGCAUGUGGUUUAAUUCGAAGCAACGCGAAGAACCUUACCAGGUCUUGACAUCCUCUGACAACCCUAGAGAUAGGGCUUUCCCUUCGGGGACAGAGUGACAGGUGGUGCAUGGUUGUCGUCAGCUCGUGUCGUGAGAUGUUGGGUUAAGUCCCGCAACGAGCGCAACCCUUGAUCUUAGUUGCCAGCAUUUAGUUGGGCACUCUAAGGUGACUGCCGGUGACAAACCGGAGGAAGGUGGGGAUGACGUCAAAUCAUCAUGCCCCUUAUGACCUGGGCUACACACGUGCUACAAUGGACAGAACAAAGGGCUGCGAGACCGCAAGGUUUAGCCAAUCC